AGAGUUUGAUCAUGGCUCAGGACAAACGCUGGCGGCGUGCCUAACACAUGCAAGUCGAACGGACCCUUCGGGGUUAGUGGCAGACGGGUGAGUAACACGUAGGUAAUGUACCUUCUUGCUGGGGAUACCUACCGAAAGGGUGGUUAAUACCGAAUGGUCUCAUGCUGCGGCAUCGCGGUAUGAGUAAAGUGUUCAGCGCGAGAGGAUCAGCCUGCGGGCCAUCAGCUGGUUGGUGGGGUAACGGCCUACCAAGGCAUCGACGGUUAGCCGGUCUGAGAGGAUGAUCGGCCACACUGGAACUGAGACACGGUCCAGACUCCUACGGGAGGCAGCAGUGAGGAAUAUUGCGCAAUGGGCGGAAGCCUGAACCGCAGCGACGCCGCGUGAGGGAUGAAGGUUUUCGGAUCGUAAACCCCUGUUAAGCAGGGAAGAGAACGGACGGUACCUGCUGAGGAAGCAUCGGCUUACUACGUGCCAGCCGCUGC
rnacentral:rRNA from 1 species